rnacentral:lncRNA from 1 species
AUAUGUGUGAGCAUUUAACUUAGAUUGAAUCCUAUAAAUAGAAUUGCUUAACUGGCGAGUAUGUAAAUAAUAAACAUUUGGCAAUUACUUUUGUAAUAUCUGAGAACUUUUUUUGUUUUUGCUCCUUUUUUGGUGUGUGGCAGUUGUGUCUUAUUUUAUUAUUGGAAUGUUAUCUUGAAUCCUUUCAUGGUUACUUGUUUUCUGUUGCCUGCACCAUCUCUCUCCCUUCAAGAUUGGUUCUGUUUAUUCCUCUUGGUUCUUUACUUUCUUAAUGUCUGGUGAUUGUUAGUUUCCAUUCAUAUUUAUAAAUGAAAGAUGAAGUAGAAUUUUAUAGUUGGCAGAUGGAUUCACUGCAGUUGAGUAAUAGUCCUCAAAUGUUGUCUUUAAGUAUUAUGAGUGGGAUCUGAUGCCAAGGACAUUUUCCUGUAUUUGUGCAUUUGUUUUCUCUUGG